rnacentral:rRNA from 1 species
CCACGGAGGGCGCAAGCGUUGCUCGGAAUCACUGGGCGUAAAGCGGGUGUAGGCGGUCUAGCAAGUCAGAUGUGAAAGCCCACGGCUCAACCGUGGAAGUGCAUCUGAAACUGCUAGACUUGAGUGCCGGAGAGGGAAGUGGAAUUCCUGGUGUAGGGGUGAAAUCCGUAGAUAUCAGGAGGAACACCGGUGGCGAAGGCGGCUUCCUGGACGGCCACUGACGCUGAGACCCGAAAGCGUGGGGAGCAAACAGGAUUAGAAACCCCAGUAGUCC